UUUUCUUUUUUUCCCCCCCCACACGCGCAAUUCCAGCUCCCAAUAGCGUAUAUUAAAGUUGUUGCAGUUAAAAAGCUCGUAGUUGAACUUUGGGUCUGGCUGGCCGGUCCGCCUCACCGCGAGUACUGGUCCGGCUGGACCUUUCCUUCUGGGGAACCCCAUGGCCUUCACUGGCCGUGGCGGGGAACCAGGACUUUUACUGUGAAAAAAUUAGAGUGUUCAAAGCAGGCCUUUGCUCGAAUACAUUAGCAUGGAAUAAUAGAAUAGGACGUGUGGUUCUAUUUUGUUGGUUUCUAGGACCGCCGUAAUGAUUAAUAGGGAUAGUCGGGGGCGUCAGUAUUCAGCUGUCAGAGGUGAAAUUCUUGGAUUUGCUGAAGACUAACUACUGCGAAAGCAUUCGCCAAGGAUGUUUUCAUUAAUCAGGGAACGAAAGUUAGGGGAUCGAAGACGAUCAGAUACCGUCGUAGUCUUAACCAUAAACUAUGCCGACUAGGGAUCGGACGGUGUUUCUAUUAUGACCCGUUCGGCACCUUACGAGAAAUCAAAGUUUUUGGGUUCUGGGGGGAGUAUGGUCGCAAGGCUGAAACUUAAAGAAAUUGACGGAAGGGCACCACAAGGCGUGGAGCCUGCGGCUUAAUUUGACUCAACACGGGGAAACUCACCAGGUCCAGACGAAAUAAGGAUUGACAGAUUGAGAGCUCUUUCUUGAUCUUUUGGAUGGUGGUGCAUGGCCGUUCUUAGUUGGUGGAGUGAUUUGUCUGCUUAAUUGCGAUGACGAACGAGACCUCUGCCCUUAAAUAGCCAGGUCCGCGUUUGCGGGCCGCUGACUUCUUAAGUGACUAUCGUCUCAAAUCCGAUUGAAGUUGCCCGGCAAUAACGCGUCAGUAUGAGCCCCCUUUAGAAGGAA
rnacentral:rRNA from 1 species